rnacentral:rRNA from 1 species
AACGAACGCUGGCGGCAUGCCUAACACAUGCAAGUCGAACGAGACCUUCGUGUCUAGUUGCGCACGCGUGCGUAAAGCGUGGGACCCUUCCCUUAGAUUCGGAAUAACUCCCCGAAAUGGGUGCUAAUACCGGAUAAUUUCUGCUAGCCCAAGAUCUAUCGUCUUUGAGUGCGCCCGCGUUGGAAUAACUAGUUGGUAUGGUAAGAGCCUACCAAGGCGAGGAUCCAUAGCUGGGCUGAGAGGAAGAUCAGCAACACUGAGACUAGGACACGGUCGAGACUCUUGCGGGAGGCAGGAGUGGCUAAUAUUGCACAACAGGCGAAAGACUGAUGCAGCAAUGCUUCGUAAGUGAUGAAGUCGGUAAGGUUGUACAGCUCUUUUAUCCCGGAUGAUAAUGACGGUACCGGGAGAAUAAGCACCGGCUAACUUCGUG